AUUGAACGCUGGCGGCAGGCCUAACACAUGCAAGUCGAGCGGGGUUUUCGGACCUAGCGGCGGACGGGUGAGUAAUGCGUAGGAAGCUACCCGAUAGAGGGGGAUACCAGUUGGAAACGACUGUUAAUACCGCAUAAUGUCUACGGACCAAAGUGUGGGACCUUCGGGCCACAUGCUAUCGGAUGCGCCUACGUGGGAUUAGCUAGUUGGUGAGGUAAUGGCUCACCAAGGCGACGAUACCUAGCUGGUUUGAGAGGAGGAUCAGCCACACUGGAACUGAGACACGGUCCAGACUCCUACGGGAGGCAGCAGUGGGGAAUAUUGGACAAUGGGCGCAAGCCUGAUCCAGCCAUGCCGCGGGUGUGAAGAAGGCCUUCGGGUUGUAAAGCACUUUCAGUAGGGAGGAAGCGUUGUGUGUUAAUAGUACACAGCGUUGACGUUACCUACAGAAGAAGCACCGGCUAACUCUGUGCCAGCCGCCGCCGUAAGAC
rnacentral:rRNA from 1 species